UCCGAUUGCCCACGCCCUUAGUGUGCCUCGUACUUCCGUCGCGGACGCAUCCCUCGUGCAAUCAUCGUCGUCUUUGCGUCCUCCUCUCUCCCUCAUUCUGCUCCUUCUCUCUCUCUCUCUCUCUCUCUCUCUCUCUCUCUCUCUCUCUCUGUAUCUUCACCUCGCUUACUUCACCUCUCUCUCUCUCUCUCUUUCUUUCUCUUUAUUACCCCUACUCCGAUACUAGCUUGCUCUCUCUCUCUCUUUUUCUAUCUUCUUCCUCCCCACUUUCUAACCCCUGUUUCUGUCUCUCUUCCCCACUUACACGCUUUGGCUUCUCUUCUCUUCUCUUCUCUUUCUAUCUGUCCGUCCGUCUGUCUGUCUGUCUGUCUUAUCUGUCUGUCUCUCUCUUUCUUACUCGUUCACUUACUCUUUUUCUCUCACGCAUCUACACACGUACGCGGGUACAUUAUAUAACAUACACGCGGUCUGUCCUCUCUUGAUCCGUGUACCUGCUUGUUGUGUUGUCUAUCUCCCUUGGAUUUAGGUGCGGGCUCGGAGUGAAUCAAAAUAUACCGAAGCUACGAGAGAGAAAGGAAAGGGUGGUGGUACACCUCGCUAAACACACAUCGGAUCCUCUGGCUCUCUCGAUUAUCGGUCCCCCGGAAUACAGCCGUACCGAUGCACGCGAGAUUCUCUCGUCCCGCCUCUUUCCGCACACCGACGCUGGAUACGCUGUGAUUGAAAAUUAUGUGUGAACCGCCGGGGAAAGUCAUUCGGUUUGUGGAUCCGUCCGUCUCGUCCUCGACGGGUGUUGUUGUGCCAGUGAAGUUUCCCCCCUCGUCUCUUUUGUUUUCGCCGUGUUUCUCUUUCUUUCUUUUCUCAUCCCACCUUUCCCUCCUCCUCCCUCUCCUCUCCCUCUCCCGGGUGUUUCGUUUCGCGACGAUGAUAACCUAUAUAUCGGAGGUAGUCGGUCGGGGGAUAUAGUUUUCGCUUUCUCUGAAUAUAUCACGCGUUUCAAACGGUUCUCGUUGCGUUUGGUUAAUUGGCAGGAAACCUUGAGAAUAUACGCGGAAAUACGUGUUGCAACAUAUAUGAUGAACACGAUGAAAGAACUGAAUCAAAAGUGUGUUGUUAUUAUGGUUGAGGAACCGAUGAAUAUCGUCCGAGUGGCUAACCGUUAUCUGUAAACACACACACACACACACACCGAACCAAGUAAUUGUUCGGCGACGUUCGGCGAAAAACAUCGGCUGAAGCACCACCGUCGACUGUGAUAUAUCGUGACUGUGAAACACCUCUCCCCCUCCCUGCCCACCCACCCCCCCCGUGGAAGAAGAAGAAGAAGAAGAAGAAUGCAGCCUCAGACGAGUUUCGUGAUCGAUUCCGAUGAAAAGUAGAAUAGCCGUUCUGCCCGGCUAUUAUGUCCACGAAGUUCAAGAUGCCGGUGACUGGCGAUGAUGAUGGGGAUUUCAUUAACCGCGGCGCGCUCCCUGCGGAGGAUUCGUCGGUGUAACAGGAAAUGUGACAUGCUGCCGUUAAUCAACUAUGAGCUCCAAGAAGCACGCAUCAGCGAGAAGGUCGUCAUAGGUACUCAAAAUGAUUUCCCUCCGUUUGGCUGCACAUCGCGGCGUGUCUGAGUAUGCUUGCUUGCAAAUCCCAGGGUAUAUUGGCAUCGAUGGUGGCAACGGCAGCCUGGAUACUGAUCACGCGCCAUCAACGAGGCCGCUGAAGAGGGUAUGCAGUUGACGCAUCCCUCGAUCCCUUAAAUCCUGGAACAAAUCGUCCAGAAGUUAAAGGAACCGUUUCACGCAUGCGAAAGGAGCGAGGAAGAGCCUGCCGAGAGAACGGAUUUCGAAGAAAGAUGUUCUGGCCAGACACGUGACAUGUGAACCGUAUAACGAGCGCAGAGAGAAGAAAAAAAUAUUUCCAGAUACACGCAGGAAUAGAAACGUGACAGAGCGUGAGAGAGAGAGAGAGAGAGAGAGAGAGUGUGUGUGUAGGAUAGAGUGAGAGUGAGAGAGAGAGGGAGGGAGA